rnacentral:rRNA from 1 species
CGCUGGCGGCACGCCUAACACAUGCAAGUCGAACGCAGUAGCAAUACUGAGUGGCAAACGGGUGAGUAUAAUGUGGGAAUCUGCCUUUUGGUUUGGAAUAACACGGGGAAACUUGUGCUAAUACCGAAUAAGCCCUUACGGGGAAAGUUUUAACGCCGAAAGAUGAGCCCGCACUUGAUUAGCUAGUUGGUAAGGUAAAAGCUUACCAAGGCAAUGAUCAAUAGCUGUUCUUAGAGGAAGACCAGCCACAUUGGGACUGAGACACGGCCCAGACUCCUACGGGAGGCAGCAGUGGGGAAUCUUGCACAAUGGGGGAAACCCUGAUGCAGCGAUGCCGCGUGAGUGAAGAAGGCCUUUGGGUUGUAAAACUCUUUCGUCGGGGAAGAAAAUGACUGUACCCGAAUAAGAAGGUCCGGCUAACUUCGUGCCAGCAGCCGCGGUAAUACGAAGGGACCUAGCGUAGUUCGGAAUUACUGGGCUUAAAGAGCUCGUAGGUGGUUAAAAUAGUUGAUGGUGAAAUCCCAAGGCUUAACCUUGGAACUGCCAUCAAAACUUUUUAGCUAGAGUGUGAUAGAGGUAAGUGGAAUUUCUAGUGUAGAGGUGAAAUUCGUAGAUAUUAGAAAGAACACCAAAUGCGAAGGCAACUUACUGGGUCACUACUGACACUGAGGAGCGAAAGCAUGGGUAGCGAAGAGGAUUAGAUACCCUCGUAGUCCAUGCCGUAAACGAUGUGUGCUAGACGUUGGAAAUAUAUUUUUCAGUGUCGCAGCGAAAGCAUUAAGCACACCGCCUGGGGAGUACGACCGCA